rnacentral:rRNA from 1 species
GACGAACCGGACAAACGUUAUUCGGAAUUAUUGGGCUUAAAGGGUGCGUAGGCGGCCAUGAAAGUUGGGUGUGAAAGCCCUCGGCUCAACCGAGGAACUGCGCUCAAAACUGCAUGGCUUGAGUGAGGCAGAGGUGAGCGGAACUUGCGGUGGAGCGGUGAAAUGCGUUGAUAUCGCAAGGAACACCAGUGGCGAAGGCGGCUCACUGGGCCUUUACUGACACUGAGGCACGAAAGCUAGGGUAGCGAACGGG